rnacentral:rRNA from 1 species
GAUGAACGCUAGCGGCAGGCCUAACACAUGCAAGUCGAGGGGCAGCACAGGUAGCAAUACUGGGUGGCGACCGGCGGAUGGGUGCGUAACGCGUAUGCAACCUACCAUUGAUUGGGGCAUAGCCCGAAGAAAUUCGGAUUAAUACUCCAUAAUAUUCAUCAAAGGCAUCUUUUAUGAAUUAAAGCUUUUGCGAUCAAUGAUGGGCAUGCGUGACAUUAGUUAGUUGGUGAGGUAACGGCUCACCAAAACGAUGAUGUCUAGGGGUUCUGAGAGGAUUAUCCCCCCAACUGGUACUGAGACACGGACCAGACUCCUACGGGAGGCAGCAGUGAGGAAUAUUGGUCAAUGGACGCAAGUCUGAACCAGCCAUGCCGCGUGCAGGAUGACGGCCCUAUGGGUUGUAAACUGCUUUUCCACGGGAAGAACCCUCCGACGUGUCGGAGACUGACGGUACCGUGGGAAUAAGCAUCGGCUAACUCCGUGCC